rnacentral:rRNA from 1 species
UGAACGCUGGCGGCGUGCCUAAUACAUGCAAGUCGAGCGAACAGACGAGGAGCUUGCUCCUCUGACGUUAGCGGCGGACGGGUGAGUAACACGUGGAUAACCUACCUAUAAGACUGGGAUAACUUCGGGAAACCGGAGCUAAUACCGGAUAAUAUUUUGAACCGCAUGGUUCAAAAGUGAAAGACGGUCUUGCUGUCACUUAUAGAUGGAUCCGCGCUGCAUUAGCUAGUUGGUAAGGUAACGGCUUACCAAGGCAACGAUGCAUAGCCGACCUGAGAGGGUGAUCGGCCGCACUGGAACUGAGACACGGUCCAGACUCCUACGGGAGGCAGCAGUAGGGAAUCUUCCGCAAUGGGCGAAAGCCUGACGGAGCAACGCCGCGUGAGUGAUGAAGGUCUUCGGAUCGUAAAACUCUGUUAUUAGGGAAGAACAUAUGUGUAAGUAACUGUGCACAUCUUGACGGUACCUAAUCAGAAAGCCACGGCUAACUACGUG